CCUACGGGCGGCAGCAGUGGGGAAUAUUGGACAAUGGGCGAAAGCCUGAUCCAGCCAUGCCGCGUGUGUGAAGAAGGCCUUCGGGUUGUAAAGCACUUUCAGUGGGGAAGAAAGCCUUGGGGCUAAUACCCUCGAGGAAGGACAUCACCCACAGAAGAAGCACCGGCUAACUCCGUGCCAGCAGCCGCGGUAAUACGGAGGGUGCGAGCGUUAAUCGGAAUUACUGGGCGUAAAGCGCGCGUAGGCGGUCUGAUAAGCCGGUUGUGAAAGCCCCGGGCUCAACCUGGGAACGGCAUCCGGAACUGUCAGGCUAGAGUGCAGGAGAGGAAGGUAGAAUUCCCGGUGUAGCGGUGAAAUGCGUAGAGAUCGGGAGGAAUACCAGUGGCGAAGGCGGCCUUCUGGACUGACACUGACGCUGAGGUGCGAAAGCGUGGGUAGCAAACAGGAUUAGAUACCCUGUAGUC
rnacentral:rRNA from 1 species